AAGUCGUAACAAGGUUUCCGUAGGUGAACCUGCGGAAGGAUCAUUAACACGUAUCCAACGUUAAACCCCCCUGUGAACUUUUAUACUUGCUCUCCUAGCCCGCCGGAAUUGCAAUCCCUGGUAAAUCAUUGUUGAACAGAUUUUGAUUCAGGGACCUCAGUUUGGUAGGCGAAGAUCGAGCGAUCGUUGCAAGUGGCCUGGUUUCCCCAAGCAGUCAGUGUCUGGAAGUGUCAUUGAUUGUGUAAGGAUAACGCUUUUUGAUCACUAGAGCAGGUGACCAGGUCGCCGUGGCUUCGGCCCCCUAUAUUAACCCCACUACCUGAACUCGCCUCGUACUGGGCAACAAAACGAACAACUGUUAACAAUGGAUAUCUUGGUUCUC
rnacentral:misc_RNA from 1 species